rnacentral:rRNA from 1 species
UACGAAGGGGGCUAGCGUUGCUCGGAAUCACUGGGCGUAAAGGGUGCGUAGGCGGGUCUUUUAAGUCAGGGGUGAAAUCCUGGAGCUCAACUCCAGAACUGCCUUUGAUACUGAAGAUCUUGAGUUCGGGGAGAGGUGAGUGGAACUGCGAGUGUAGAGGUGAAAUUCGUAGAUAUUCGCAAGAACACCAGUGGCGAAGGCGGCUCACUGGCCCGAUACUGACGCUGAGGCACGAAAGCGUGGGGAGCAAACAGGG